rnacentral:rRNA from 1 species
AAGUUUAUAUUAAACAUUUAUGGCUAUUAGAUGGGUAUGCGUCCUAUUAGUUAGUUGGUAAGGUAACGGCUUACCAAGGCAGCGAUAGGUAGGGGUCCUGAGAGGGAGAUCCCCACACUGGUACUGAGACACGGACCAGACUCCUACGGGAGGCAGCAGUGAGGAAUAUUGGACAAUGGGCGAGAGCCUGAUCCAGCCAUGCCGCGUGCAGGAAGACUGCCCUAUGGGUUGUAAACUGCUUUUACAGAGGAAGAACCACCCCCACGUGUGGGGGUUUGACGGUACUCUGCGAAUAAGGAUCGGCUAACUCCGUG